rnacentral:tRNA from 1 species
AGUAAAGUCAGCUAAUUAAGCUUUUGGGCCCAUACCCCAAACAUGUUGGUUAAACCCCCUUCCUCUACUAA